rnacentral:rRNA from 1 species
AGUGAACGCUGGCGGUAGGCCUAACACAUGCAAGUCGAACGGCAGCACAGUAAGAGCUUGCUCUUACGGGUGGCGAGUGGCGGACGGGUGAGGAAUACAUCGGAAUCUACUUUUUCGUGGGGGAUAACGUAGGGAAACUUACGCUAAUACCGCAUACGACCUACGGGUGAAAGCAGGGGAUCUUCGGACCUUGCGCGAUUGAAUGAGCCGAUGUCGGAUUAGCUAGUUGGCGGGGUAAAGGCCCACCAAGGCGACGAUCCGUAGCUGGUCUGAGAGGAUGAUAGGCCACACUGAAACUGAGACACGGUCAAGACUCCUACGGGAGGCAGCGGUGGGGAAUAUUGGACAAUGGGGGCAAGCUUGAUCCAGCAUACCGCGUGGGUGAAGAAGGCCUUCGGGUUGUAAAGCCCUUUUGUUGGGAAAGAAAAGCAGCAGGUUAAUACCCCGCUGUUCUGACGGUACCCAAAGAAUAAGCACCGGCUAACUUCGUG